GCCUGGCUAGCUCAGGUGGUAGAGGAUGAGCCUCUUAAUCUCAAGGUCAUGGGUUUGAGCCCCACGUUGGGCA